CCUACGGUGUGCAGCAGUGAGGAAUAUUGGUCAAUGGUCGGGAGACUGAACCAGCCAAGCCGCGUGAGGGAGGAAGGUACAGAGUAUCGUAAACCUCUUUUGUCAGGGAACAAAGACUGGGACGCGUCCCCGGAUGAGUGUACCUUAAGAAAAAGCAUCGGCUAACUCCGUGCCAGCAGCCGCGGUAAUACGGAGGAUGCGAGCGUUAUCCGGAUUUAUUGGGUUUAAAGGGAGCGUAGGCGGGUUGUUAAGUCAGUUGUGAAAGUUUGCGGCUCAACCGUAAAAUUGCAGUUGAUACUGGCAUCCUUGAGUACAGUAGAGGUAGGCGGAAUUCGUGGUGUAGCGGUGAAAUGCUUAGAUAUCACGAAGAACUCCGAUUGCGAAGGCAGCCUGCUGGACUGUAACUGACGCUGAUGCUCGAAAGUGUGGGUAUCAAACAGGAUUAGAUACCCCGGUAGUC
rnacentral:rRNA from 1 species